rnacentral:rRNA from 1 species
AUGGCCGCGUUGCCGCAGCUGCUUCUGACCCUCUUGAUCCUGCUGCUGGCCUCGACGCCGGCCGCGCGGGCCUCGUCGGUGACUUACCGCUGCGGCUGGUGCCCGCGCAGGUCCACCGCGUCCAUCCUCCCUCCUGGCGCCGGCGCCCUCACCGGCGCCGCCUGCGGGUAUGGUGGCCAGGCGGCGGAGAUGGCCGUCGAUGGGGGGUUCCACAUUGCGGCCGUCAGCGCUGGUUUCUUCCGCGGCGGCCAGGCCUGCGGCGCCUGCUACCAGCUGAGGUGCAGGAGCCGGAGCGCGUGCGCGAAGGAUGGCGUCAAGAUCGUCGUCGUGGGCGAAGUGGCGGACACGAACAUGACAGGUGGUGGUGCUGGUGGCCGCUUCCUGCUCACCAAAGACGCCUUCGCCGCCAUGACCAUGCCAGACCGUGCCGCCGAGCUCGCGGACGCGGCCGUCGACGUGGACUUCAGGAGAAUUCCCUGCGCGUACAAGAGCAAGAACCUGGCGGUCAAAGUGGAGGAGACGAGCAGCAGGGACCGGGGCUACCUCGCCCUCCGCUACCUCUACCAGGGCGGCCAGACCGACAUCGCCGCCGUCGAGGUCGCCCAGGCGGUCACCGGUUCGAGCGGCACCAACAACGAGGCUGCGCCGUCGCAGACAACGUGGCAGUACAUGACGCGGCGUGAGGCGUCCCCGUCGGUGUGGCGCACGUCGCGCGUGCCGGCCGGUCCACUGCGGCUCCGGCUCGUGGUCACCGCGGGCUCCAGCGGCAAGUGGCUGCGCACCGACGGGGCGGUGCUUCCCGCGGAAUGGCAGCCCGGCGCGGUCUAUGACACCGGCCUGCGCAUCACCGACGUUGCCGCAAACACCUGCGGCGGCGCCUCCUGCUCCUCCACGGACGAGGGCGACGACGCUGAGCAGCUCAGAUGA